GCAGACUCACUCUGUUCUUGGCUGUUCACUCCGGCCUUGAACUUUUUCUGUCUGCUACAUGAACGUGCAGAAUGUAACACUUUACCAGCUUUUAAAAAGUUUGGUGGCUGUAUGUUCUGUGACAUUACA